rnacentral:rRNA from 1 species
AUUGAACGCUGGCGGUAGGCCUAACACAUGCAAGUCGAACGGUAACAGGAAGAAGCUUGCUUCUUUGCUGACGGGUGGCGGACGGGUGAGUAAUGUCUGGGAAACUGCCUGAUGGAGGGGGAUAACUACUGGAAACGGUAGCUAAUACCGCAUAAACGUCGCAAGACCAAAAGAGGGGGGACCUUCGGGCCUCUUGCCAUCGGAUGUGCCCAGAUGGGAUUAGCUAGUAGGUGGGGUAACGGCUCACCUAGGCGACGAUCCCUAGCUGGUCUGAGAGGAUGACCAGCCACACUGGAACUGAGACACGGUCCAGACUCCUACGGGAGGCAGCAGUGGGGAGUAUUGCACAAUGGGCGCAAGCCUGAUGCAGCCAUG